rnacentral:lncRNA from 1 species
UCGAGGCACUUGUUCUAACCUCCCACUAAUAGUUGUCACUUCUUUCCUUAUGGCUUCCACUUCCGUACUUAACCUUUCAAGAGUUUGGGUCUUAGCUUCAAGAGUGACCCUCAUAUUCUCCAUUUUAUUAGAAUCCACGUUUUGAGACAUGGUUCCCUCCAUUUUCAAGGUAUCACAUACAAAAGCAACAAAUUAGUUAGUAUAAAACCCCUCUCCUCACUCAUACUCUCUUGGUUCACUCACACUCAAGCUCUACAAGUAUUGUAGAUUGGCUAGUAACCCAUGAAUCCUUAAGGUAUGAGUAUGCUCUUGUAUGGAAUGGAUUCUUGUUUGAAACUCAAAGAAUUCUCAUCGGACUAGAUUCUAGGAGUUACAACGUAUUCAAAUGACAAAAGCACACAAAGAAAUGAUAACACAAAUAGCGGGCUUCAAAGGAC